GUGUCAGCCGCCGCGGUAAUACGGAGGAUGCAAGCGUUAUCCGGAUUUAUUAGGUUUAAAGGGUGCGUAGGUGGGCGUUUAAGUCAGUGGUUAAAGCCAUUAGCUUAACUAAUGUAUGCCAUUGAUACUGGAUGUCUUGAAUGUGGUAGAGGUAGGCGGAAUGUGUUGUGUAGCGGUGAAAUGCUUAGAUAUAACACAGAACACCGAUUGCGAAGGCAGCUUACUAUUCCAUUAUUGACGCUGAUGCACGAAAGCGUGGGGAUCAAACAGGAUUAGAUACCCUGGUAGUCCACGCUGUAAACUAUGAUCACUCGUUUUUGGCGAUAUAUAGUCAGAGACUGAGCGAAAGCAUUAAGUGAUCCACCUGGGGAGUACGUUCGCAAGAAUGAAACUCAAAGGAAUUGACGG
rnacentral:rRNA from 1 species